UACGUAGGGUGCGAGCGUUGUCCGGAAUUAUUGGGCGUAAAGAGCUCGUAGGCGGUCUGUCGCGUCGAUCGUGAAAACUUGGGGCUUAACCCUGAGCUUGCGGUCGAUACGGGCAUGACUGGAGUUCGGCAGGGGAGACUGGAAUUCCUGGUGUAGCGGUGAAAUGCGCAGAUAUCAGGAGGAACACCGAUGGCGAAGGCAGAUCUCUGGGCCGUAACUGACGCUGAGGAGCGAAAGCGUGGGGAGCGAACAGG
rnacentral:rRNA from 1 species